CUACGGGUCGCACCAGUCGAGAAUCAUUCGCAAUGCACGAAAGUGUGACGAUGCGACGCCGCGUGGAGGAUGACGGCCUUCGGGUUGUAAACUCCUGUCAGCAGGGAGCAACGCUUCAAUGUUUAAUACACAUUGAAUUUGAUAGUACCUGCAGAGGAAGUCACGGCUAACUCUGUGCCAGGCAGCCGCGGUAAUACAGAGGUGGCAAGCGUUAAUCGGAAUUACUGGGCGUAAAGGGUCCGCAGGUGGUUUUGUGUGUCGGGUGUGAAAUGCUACAGCUCAACUGUAGAAUGGCACUCGAAACUGCAGAACUAGAGUUCUGGAGGGGAGAAGGGAACAGUUGGUGUAGCGGUGAAAUGCGUAGAUAUCAACUGGAACACCGGUGGCGAAGGCGCUUCUCUGGACAGAUACUGACACUCAUGGACGAAAGCUAAGGUAGCGAAAGGGAUUAGAUACCCCGGUAGUC
rnacentral:rRNA from 1 species